GUCGCUCCAAGGACCAUUUGAAGCACAGGGCGAGGAAGGAAACUAGCCGCUCACCUAGUCCUUCACCUCCAGAUCCUCCCUUCAGAAUGCAGCUUUUCCUCCUCCUGGCCGCCCUGCUGAGCGCUGCAGCUGCUCUGCCAAUCCCUCUUGGACAAUCCGGAGGAAGUUCCAGUGAACAGAGAUUUAACUUGUACGCACCACAAAUCCUGCCUUUCUUCCCUCCGUUUCCCCUUCCGCAGGCUCCUCUGAUCCCGAUUCCCUUUCCCUUCCCUUUUAAUCCAAAUCAGGUUCUGACACCUAAUCAGCUUCUGGAGUUAAUCACUUCUAUUUUGAACCAACUGCAGGGCUUCCUUGGGAGAUAAGCUUCACUGCUACAUCAGAAGGCUCGCACAGUGGUGCAGGUGUCCAGGUUACCUGCUCUGUUCUCUGCAGCUUGGAACAAUGGUCUUACCAUCUUGUAGACUCUAUAGAAUGUCCUGUGAAACAUCCAAUACCACAGGCAAAUCUAUUAUCUACAGCCAUUCAAUCU